GACGAACGCUGGCGGCGUGCUUAACACAUGCAAGUCGAACGGAAAGGCCCUGCUUGCAGGGUACUCGAGUGGCGAACGGGUGAGUAACACGUGGGUGAUCUGCCCUGCACUUCGGGAUAAGCUUGGUAAACUGGGUCUAAUACCGGAUAGGAGCCAUCUUUAGUGUGGUGGUUGGAAAGUUUUUUCGGUGUAGGAUGAGCUCGCGGCCUAUCAGCUUGUUGGUGGGGUAAUGGCCUACCAAGGCGGCGACGGGUAGCCGGCCUGAGAGGGUGUACGGCCACAUUGGGACUGAGAUACGGCCCAGACUCCUACGGGAGGCAGCAGUGGGGAAUAUUGCACAAUGGGCGCAAGCCUGAUGCAGCGACGCCGCGGGGGGGAUGAAGGCCUUCGGGUUGGAAACUCCUUUCGCUAGGGACGAAGCUUUUUGUGACGGUACCUAGAGAAGAAGCACCGGCUAACUACGUG
rnacentral:rRNA from 1 species